CUCUGAGGCGGGGCUUCGGGCCUCGGGCCCCGCCCCGCCCGCCGCGGGCAGAGGGGUUUCUGGGAAGGGCCUGCGAGAGGGCUGAGCGCUCAGAAAGCGGCGCCUAGGAGACCCGCUCGCCGCACCGCCCGCCGCAGGGCCGCACGCCGCACCGCGCGGCUUCCCCUAGCCCUCUUGGCGGGGCCUGGCCCGCCCGCGAGCCCAGCUCCGCAUAUCUCGACCGGCCGUCCCCGCUGGCUCAGGUCUCCGAGACCCAGGCGACAGACACUCAGUACAGAUGGUCCGUGCCAUGCGGCUGCAGACCCUCCGUGCGCUGCCCAGAGACCCCCAUCAGCGUCAUGGACUCCCCUUCCAGGCUGAGCGGCCGUGCAGGCUCCAUAGUUGGGGCGUCCCCAGAAUCACCCAGACUUCACUGGAGCUGACCCUCGGCCUCUCAGCCUUUCCCGAGCCACCUCAGUUGUGAAAUGGCAGCGUUUUGCCAGAUAACGAUGCUUCCAUCUACGGAGUCACAAGAAUGACCACUGAAACUCUCUACACUUCCACUUUCCUGACUUCCUCCCAACAGUGAUGUCCUCAUCUAAGCCAUUUCAGCUGCCCUCAUUCAGUUGACAAAAAGGUACGAUUUCUCCAGGAUUUUAAAGGCCCCCUGAGAAGGAUGAGGGACAGAAGUCUCACCCUACUGCCCCUCCAAAGAUCCCCUGCCUCCUCCCAGGAUUGUCCACAGGCAGGACAUUGAGUAGAACCACAGGUCAUAGAGUCACUAUGCCAACCUUCCUGUCCAUUGUAAGGGUCAUCACAAGGGAUUCUGCUUCCUUGGGGUGGGGGAAGGGCCCAAAGCCAACCAUCUUUGCCUCUUCCCCCUCAGGGGAGGUACCAGGGAGGCUCACUGUGCACUGUGGUUAGAGGGCUAGAGGGGUGGAGGCCCCUGGGCAGCGGAGGCCGUGGGGGCUGUGGCCUGAGGGGGCCUGGAGUGGCCAGGGUCCAGCAGGGCUGUAUGUAUGGCCAGGUAAAUGGAGGGCAGUGGGCCCUGGGUACCCGGCCCCGGGCUCUCCCUGUUGCUGUUGCUGCUCCCUCCACUGCUGAGUGCAGGGAGCUUCCAGCAUGAUGUCCUGAACUGGAGAAAUUUCCGCCACCUUGACUUUGGCUGGAAAACCAUUCACCGCUACCUCAGCCCAGACUGGGGAAGCCUCCGCAGGAGCGUCAGGAGCAAGGCGAGCAAGCUGCACGACUGUGACGGUGCCUUUGACUUCUAUUUGGUCUUGGAUGCGUCGCCCAGCCAAGGCAACACCUGGAAUGAAAUUUGUGAUUUAACAGAAAGGUUGCUGAAGAGGUUUACAAAGUAUGGCUGGUGUUUUUCCCUGCCAGACAGAGCACACAGCUCUUUACAGUCGGCGAAAGUGGGAGUCCUUCGGUUUCAGGAGCAGAGAGCCCUAGGUGGUGUUCUGAGGCAGAAAGAAUUACCAAUCACACUGAUCUUACCAGGUCCCAAUAGCUCAGUCGGUAAAGAGUCUGCCUGCAGUGCAGGAGACCUGGGUUC